rnacentral:misc_RNA from 1 species
GAUGAAGAACGCAGCGAAAUGCGAUAAGUAAUGUGAAUUGCAGAAUUCAGUGAAUCAUCGAAUCUUUGAACGCACCUUGCACCCUUUGGUAUUCCGAAGGGUAUGCUCGUUUGAGUGUCAUUGUACUCUCACACUUCUAAUUCCUUUCGGGAUUGGGAGCGGUGGACUUGGGUGUUGCUGCUUUAGUUGUGGCUCACCUCAAAUUAGUUAGUGCAACUCUUGGUUGGACAUAGUACGGCGUGAUAAGUGUCUUCGCCGGCGCCUCUGUAAGGAGGGUGGCCGAUCGGGAGCUCUGUGCUUCAAACCGUCUUCGGACAAUCUUUGACAACUUGACCUCAAAUCGAGUAGGACUACCCGCUGAACUUAAGCAUAUCAAUAAGCGGAGGA